rnacentral:rRNA from 1 species
AGCGAACGCUGGCGGCAGGCCUAACACAUGCCAGUCGAACGAACUCUUCGGAGUUAGUGGCGGACGGGUGAGUAACACGUGGGAACGUGCCCUUUGGUACGGAAUAACUCAGGGAAACUUGAGCUAAUACCGUAUGUGCCCUUCGGGGGAAAGAUUUAUCGCCAUUGGAGCGGCCCGCGUCUGAUUAGCUAGUUGGUGAGGUAAAGGCUCACCAAGGCUACGAUCAGUAGCUGGUCUGAGAGGAUGAUCAGCCACAUUGGGACUGAGACACGGCCCAAACUCCUACGGGAGGCAGCAGUGGGGAAUCUUGCGCAAUGGGCGAAAGCCUGACGCAGCCAUGCCGCGUGAAUGAUGAAGGUCUUAGGAUUGUAAAAUUCUUUCACCGGGGACGAUAAUGACGGUACCCGGAGAAGAAGCCCCGGCUAACUUCGUG